rnacentral:rRNA from 1 species
GCGAGGUGAUAUGAACCUUUGACCCGGCGAUGUCCGAAUGGGGAAACCCAGUGCAAUCCGUUGCACUAUCGUUAACUGAAUACAUAGGUUAACGAGGCGAACCGGGGGAACUGAAACAUCUAAGUACCCCGAGGAAAAGAAAUCAACCGAGAUUCCCCCAGUAGCGGCGAGCGAACGGGGAGCAGCCCGGAGUCUGAAUCAGCUUGUGUGUUAGUGGAACGGUCUGGAAAGUCCGACGGUACAGGGUGAUAGUCCCGUACACGAAAGCACACUUGCUGUGAACUCGAAGAGUAGGGCGGGACACGUGGUAUCCUGUCUGAAUAUGGGGGGACCAUCCUCCAAGGCUAAAUACUCCUGACUGACCGAUAGUGAACCAGUACCGUGAGGGAAAGGCGAAAAGAACCCCGGCGAGGGGAGUGAAAAAGAACCUGAAACCGUGUACGUACAAGCAGUGGGAGCCUCUUUAUGGGGUGACUGCGUACCUUUUGUAUAAUGGGUCAGCGACUUAUAUUCUGUAGCAAGGUUAACCGUAUAGGGGAGCCGAAGGGAAACCGAGUCUUAACUGGGCGUUAAGUUGCAGGGUAUAGACCCGAAACCCGGUGAUCUAGCCAUGGGCAGGUUGAAGGUUGGGUAACACUAACUGGAGGACCGAACCGACUAAUGUUGAAAAAUUAGCGGAUGACCUGUGGCUGGGGGUGAAAGGCCAAUCAAACCGGGAGAUAGCUGGUUCUCCCCGAAAGCUAUUUAGGUAGCGCCUCGUGAACUCAUCUUCGGGGGUAGAGCACUGUUUCGGCUAGGGGGCCAUCCCGGCUUACCAACCCGAUGCAAACUACGAAUACCGAAGAAUGUUAUCACGGGAGACACACGGCGGGUGCUAACGUCCGUCGUGAAGAGGGAAACAACCCAGACCGCCAGCUAAGGUCCCAAAGUCAUGGUUAAGUGGGAAACGAUGUGGGAAGGCACAGACAGCCAGGAUGUUGGCUUAGAAGCAGCCAUCAUUUAAAGAAAGCGUAAUAGCUCACUGGUCGAGUCGGCCUGCGCGGAAGAUGUAACGGGGCUAAACCAUGCACCGAAGCUGCGGCAGCGACGCUUAUGCGUUGUUGGGUAGGGGAGCGUUCUGUAAGCCGUUGAAGGUGUGCUGUGAGGCAUGCUGGAGGUAUCAGAAGUGCGAAUGCUGACAUAAGUAACGAUAAAGCGGGUGAAAAGCCCGCUCGCCGGAAGACCAAGGGUUCCUGUCCAACGUUAAUCGGGGCAGGGUGAGUCGACCCCUAAGGCGAGGCCGAAAGGCGUAGUCGAUGGGAAACAGGUUAAUAUUCCUGUACUUGGUGUUACUGCGAAGGGGGGACGGAGAAGGCUAUGUCAGCCGGGCGACGGUUGUCCCGGUUUAAGCAUGUAGGCGGAGGUUCCAGGUAAAUCCGGUACCUUAUUAACGCUGAGGUGUGAUGACGAGGCACUACGGUGCUGAAGUGAUAAAUGCCCUGCUUCCAGGAAAAGCCUCUAAGCAUCAGGUAACACGAAAUCGUACCCCAAACCGACACAGGUGGUCAGGUAGAGAAUACCAAGGCGCUUGAGAGAACUCGGGUGAAGGAACUAGGCAAAAUGGUGCCGUAACUUCGGGAGAAGGCACGCUGAUAUGUAGGUGAAGUCCCUGCGGACGGAGCUGAAAUCAGUCGAAGAUACCAGCUGGCUGCAACUGUUUAUUAAAAACACAGCACUGUGCAAACACGAAAGUGGACGUAUACGGUGUGACGCCUGCCCGGUGCCGGAAGGUUAAUUGAUGGGGUUAGCGGCAACGCGAAGCUCUUGAUCGAAGCCCCGGUAAACGGCGGCCGUAACUAUAACGGUCCUAAGGUAGCGAAAUUCCUUGUCGGGUAAGUUCCGACCUGCACGAAUGGCGUAAUGAUGGCCAGGCUGUCUCCACCCGAGACUCAGUGAAAUUGAACUCGCUGUGAAGAUGCAGUGUACCCGCGGCAAGACGGAAAGACCCCGUGAACCUUUACUAUAGCUUGACACUGAACACUGGUCCUUGAUGUGUAGGAUAGGUGGGAGGCUUUGAAGCGUGGACGCCAGUCUGCGUGGAGCCAACCUUGAAAUACCACCCUUUAAUGGCUGGUGUUCUAACGUAGACCCGUAAUCCGGGUUGCGGACAGUGUCUGGUGGGUAGUUUGACUGGGGCGGUCUCCUCCCAAAGAGUAACGGAGGAGCACGAAGGUUGGCUAAUCCUGGUCGGACAUCAGGAGGUUAGUGCAAUGGCAUAAGCCAGCUUGACUGCGAGCGUGACGGCGCGAGCAGGUGCGAAAGCAGGUCAUAGUGAUCCGGUGGUUCUGAAUGGAAGGGCCAUCGCUCAACGGAUAAAAGGUACUCCGGGGAUAACAGGCUGAUACCGCCCAAGAGUUCAUAUCGACGGCGGUGUUUGGCACCUCGAUGUCGGCUCAUCACAUCCUGGGGCUGAAGUAGGUCCCAAGGGUAUGGCUGUUCGCCAUUUAAAGUGGUACGCGAGCUGGGUUUAGAACGUCGUGAGACAGUUCGGUCCCUAUCUGCCGUGGGCGCUGGAGAAUUGAGGGGGGCUGCUCCUAGUACGAGAGGACCGGAGUGGACGCAUCACUGGUGUUCGGGUUGUCAUGCCAAUGGCACUGCCCGGUAGCUAAAUGCGGAAGAGAUAAGUGCUGAAAGCAUCUAAGCACGAAACUUGCCCCGAGAUGAGUUCU